rnacentral:rRNA from 1 species
AUUGAACGCUGGCGGCAGGCCUAACACAUGCAAGUCGAGCGGAUGAAGGUAGCUUGCUCCUGGAUUCAGCGGCGGACGGGUGAGUAAUGCCUAGGAAUCUGCCUGGUAGUGGGGGAUAACGUCCGGAAACGGGCGCUAAUACCGCAUACGUCCUGAGGUAGGAAUUGGGGGAUCUUCGGACCUCACGCUAUCAGAUGAGCCUAGGUCGGAUUAGCUAGUUGGUGGGGUAAAGGCCUACCAAGGCGACGAUCCGUAACUGGUGUGAGAGGAUGAUGAGUCACGCUGGAACUGAGACACGGUCCAGACUCCUACGGGAGGCAGAAGUGGGGAAUAUUGGACGAUGGGCGGAAGCAUGAUCCAGACACGGCGCGUGUGUGAAGAAGGUCUUCGGAUUGUAAAGCACUUUAAGUUGGGAGGAAGGGUAGUAAGUUAAUACCUUGCUGUUUUGACGUUACCAACAGAAUAAGCACCGGCUAACUUCGUG